rnacentral:rRNA from 1 species
AACGAACGCUGGCGGCAUGCCUAACACAUGCAAGUCGAACGAGAUCUUCGGGUCUAGUGGCGCACGGGUGCGUAACGCGUGGGAAUCUGCCCUUUGGUUCGGAAUAACAGUUGGAAACGACUGCUAAUACCGGAUGAUGACGAAAGUCCAAAGAUUUAUCACCAGAGGAUGAGCCCGCGUAGGAUUAGCUAGUUGGUGUGGUAAAGGCGCACCAAGGCGACGAUCCUUAGCUGGUCUGAGAGGAUGAUCAGCCACACUGGGACUGAGACACGGCCCAGACUCCGACGGGAGGCAGCAGUGGGGAAUAUUGGACAAUGGGCGAAAGCCUGAUCCAGCAAUGCCGCGUGAGUGAUGAAGGCCUUAGGGUAGUAAAGCUCUUUUACCCGGGAUGAUAAUGACAGUACCGGGAGAAUAAGCUCCGGCUAACUCCGUGCCAGCCGCCGCCGUAACAC